rnacentral:rRNA from 1 species
GACGAACGCUGGCGGCGUGCUUAACACAUGCAAGUCGAACGGAAAGGCCCUGCUUUUGUGGGGUGCUCGAGUGGCGAACGGGUGAGUAACACGUGAGUAACCUGCCCUUGACUUUGGGAUAACUUCAGGAAACUGGGGCUAAUACCGGAUAGGAGCUCCUGCUGCAUGGUGGGGGUUGGAAAGUUUCGGCGGUUGGGGAUGGACUCGCGGCUUAUCAGCUUGUUGGUGGGGUAGUGGCUUACCAAGGCUUUGACGGGUAGCCGGCCUGAGAGGGUGACCGGCCACAUUGGGACUGAGAUACGGCCCAGACUCCUACGGGAGGCAGCAGUGGGGAAUAUUGCACAAUGGGCGGAAGCCUGAUGCAGCAACGCCGCGUGCGGGAUGACGGCCUUCGGGUUGUAAACCGCUUUCGCCUGUGACGAAGCGUGAAUGACGGUAAUGGGUAAAGAAGCACCGGCUAACUACGUGCCAGCAGCCGCGGUGAUACGUAGGGUGCGAGCGUUGUCCGGAUUUAUUGGGCGUAAAGGGCUCGUAGGUGGUUGAUCGCGUCGGAAGUGUAAUCUUGGGGCUUAACCCUGAGCGUGCUUUCGAUACGGGUUGACUUGAGGAAGGUAGGGGAGAAUGGAAUUCCUGGUGGAGCGGUGGAAUGCGCAGAUAUCAGGAGGAACACCAGUGGCGAAGGCGGUUCUCUGGGCCUUUCCUGACGCUGAGGAGCGAAAGCGUGGGGAGCGAACAGGCUUAGAUACCCUGGUAGUCCACGCUGUAAACGGUGGGUACUAGGUGUGGGGUCCAUUCCACGGGUUCCGUGCCGUAGCUAACGCUUUAAGUACCCCGCCUGGGGAGUACGGCCGCAAGGCUAAAACUCAAAGGAAUUGACGGGGCCCCGCACAAGCGGCGGAGCAUGCGGAUUAAUUCGAUGCAACGCGUAGAACCUUACCUGGGUUUGACAUGGAUCGGGAGUGCUCAGAGAUGGGUGUGCCUCUUUUGGGGUCGGUUCACAGGUGGUGCAUGCCUGUCGUCAGCUCGUGUCGUGAGAUGUUGGGUUAAGUCCCGCAACGAGCGCAACCCUUGUUCACUGUUGCCAGCACGUUAUGGUGGGGACUCAGUGGAGACCGCCGGGGUCAACUCGGAGGAAGGUGGGGAUGACGUCAAGUCCUCAUGCCCCUUAUGUCCAGGGCUUCACGCAUGCUACAAUGGCUGGUACAGAGAGUGGCGAGCCUGUGAGGGUGAGCGAAUCUCGGAAAGCCGGUCUCAGUUCGGAUUGGGGUCUGCAACUCGACCUCAUGAAGUCGGAGUCGCUAGUAAUCGCAGAUCAGCAACGCUGCGGUGAAUACGUUCCCGGG